AAGACAAAACACUCACGUGCCGUUUUUCGUAUUUUGAAUUAUUUGGUGAAAUGUGGUCCUAUGUGCGUGUUUAGGAGACACAAAUUUAGUUCUUUUAGUUGUUUUACGAUGUAAAUAGCUUCUGUUGAAAGAAAAUUACAAUUACGGAUUCCGUGCGUCGAUGCUGUAUAUACAAUAUUUCUAGAUCUCGUAUAUUAAAAAAAAAACAAUUGCAAAUAUAACACGAGUAUAGUUACCUGACAAAAUUGAUUUUGCAUUUAUUCUACUUUUCAUUUUAUUAGCGCUACGAUUUAUAUAAGUUUUACUUGAAGCAAGUUGAAGGUUCAAUGUAUAGGUUAAGUCGCAGUGACAUAUUAAUAGAGUAGAAAAAUGAUGAAAAUGUUGUCACUUCACGACUUCGAUGGUCCUGCUUUUGGUGAUGUAGCUGCUGUUGGUUUGCUGAGUCAUACCAUGCAUUAUUGCAACUACAACAAAUUACAGGAUGAGAACCAACCCUUCUACAAGUAUCUGCGCAAUUAUCCUGAAGUGUCUCUUAUGCAAGAUAUCUCAGCCACGCGUGACUCAAUGCGCACAGUCAGUGCCAAUGAACUCUUCUUACCUGUUCAUGACAGUGCUUCUAAGAAGAUUGCCAGUAUAUGGAGAGAGAAAGGUCUAUCUGAAGCUAUUCGCUUUGCUGCUGCUGCUGAUCCACAGGAGAUCACAACUGUUAUACAUUGGAUAGCAACAAAGCUCAAGAAAGUUCUAGACUUGAUGGAUAGAGGAAUAUAUCACAGAGAUCUUUUACCAAUCUCAGGAGAUGGAUCUGUUGCUGACAUUGUUGCUACACGAGAUUGGAACACCUCACUGGUGAGGUGUAUGUCUUGGCAUCCAUAUUGCUAUCGUCUAGCUGUGGCCACAAGAGAUGAUCGAAUCCGUAUUUUCUCACCAGUGUCGACUAAUGCUAACUGGACAUCAUUGAUACUGCCUAUACCAAUACUGAGACAUAGUGAGCAGAAAUCGGUUUGCUGUUUAAGUUGGAGACCAAAUAGUGGUCGUGAAUUAGCAGUUGCCUGCUAUUACGGAGUAUUAGUUUGGACAAUAGAAUUGGGUGCAGCCAGUAAUUUACUCAGUCAUGCAGUACUUCUUAAACAAAGGAAUCAUGCACCUGUUACGAGUGCCACAUGGCAUCCACAAGGCGAUCUAUUAGCAUCUUGCUCACCAACGGACUUAAAUAUAAUAAUUUGGGAUGUCUCUAAGGAGGAGGGAGUACCUUUGAGACGUGUUGGCGGAGGUGGCAUAUGUUUCACGCGUUGGUCAUCUUGUGGCUCACGAUUGUUCUCUGCUUCAUGUGGGAACGUUUUCAGAGUUUGGAAUACUGGUAUCUCAAAACCAUGGUACGCGGAUAAGUGGACUGUGCCCAAUGGUCGUGUAGCUGUCGCAUGCUUUGGUCCCAACUUAACAUUACUUUUUGCUACUACGGAAGACCCUGCUACAGUAUUCUCAUUGCCAUUGCAGGAUAACAUAUUUGAGGAUAAAAAGGCAAACAACAAUGACGUAAAGAUAGCUACGCGUUUGAUCGAUUUAACGAAAGUAAAUUUCUCGUCGGACGAUAAUGAUGAUUAUAUCACAGUGGGAGGUAGGAUAGUUUCCAUGGAAUGGAAUUCGAUAGGGCAAUAUCUUGCUAUAAUUUUCCAGGAUAGCCCAGUGAUCGCUCUGUUUAAAACGAGUAUAAAUAAAAUAUCGCGGAUAGUGGAGGUUCAGCCAAGUUGCCUUAUCAAAGGAUUCCCUGUAGAAGUGCCAAAUUGCAUAAAUUUUCAUCAAAAAGAUUCUCCGUGCAUUUGCCUAACAAUAGCUUGGAGCAGCGGACGUAUACAGCAUUUCCCGAUUGUCGAAGAUCACGACAAACUUUAUUCCGUUACGUCAAUUUACAGCAACAAACGAAUUGUAUAACUUGGACGUCGAAGGUUGCAGACUACACGAUACAUAUUAGGUUGGUGUUUUCACAACAAAAUGAUAGUAUGAAGGAAUGACAGGAACGAGAACGAACACUUACUUGCGAGAAAACUGUUAUUAAUAUAGGCUAUCAUAGCCAAGCUAUUAUCUCGCUGUUAAAAUAAUCAUAGAUAUAUGCGCGGGCAGAGCUUACAUAAUUCUCGUUUUGGGAAGAGUUUAUAUCCGUAACUGCGCCUACGGGAGAAAGAGGGGGAAAAAAAACGAAUGGGUGGUCCGUCGUUAGACACUCUAAUGGACUAUGUUUGUAACGUAUGGAACAUAGAGCGCAACACGGGCUCUUCUCGAGUUCGGUACCUAAUUAUACGAAGUCACAUGCAGAGCGCGCGUCUUUCUAUUUUUACGUCGCUUGACCGAAUGCUAAACGCUCGCCGACAUGUAUCUCCGUACGUACGCGACGCGACGGUCCACGCUAUUUUCAAUACGCCCUAUGUGACGCCCGUUUUACCAUACGAUGGCUCUGUGUAUGUGUACGAUUACAUACAGUCAAGUGUGUGUGUACAGAUAAUCGUGAGGUAUACUCACACACUAAGUUGAAUCUAUUGUAUAGUAAAGAUUAUCUACACAAAGAUUCUCUUUUUCUUUCUUCGUUUUCUUUUUUUGUGCAAAAACUGACCUCUCAUACGUGUGAAUACGCAUUACAAAGUUGCGCACACACUUAUUUGAAAUUAUGUAUCUAAAAGUAUAAAUUUGUAAUAUAUGUUUAUUAUACUUAUAUAUGCAUAUAUUCUUUCACUUUAUAGUGGGUUUUUUUUUUUAAUUAAGUGUACACAUUUAUAUUGGACGUUCGGGCAAGUUUAUUAAUUCGUAUCGUGGAGAACGCUCGCGGUUAUAAUCGCCGCUCAAGAUUACAUGAAGGCGGGAAGAAGCGUUUCUGACCUUUUUUUUCUUUUUUUUCUGUACGGGGCGAUUAAACGUUUAAAAUGGGUUUUUUAUUCAUUUUGCUGUUAUUGCAUCCGUAUGGGGGGAGAACAUGAUCAGUGUCCUUUUUACGGUAUAUUUAUUUUAAGGGCGGUCGGGUCGUACGCACAUGCGGCGACUAUAGUACGAGCGAAGCUGACAGGUGCCUGGGUAAAAAAGCAGGACCGUGAGCGGGCGUAGUAUGUAUAAUGUAAGCAUCGAGGGCUGGCAGACCACAUGUGCCGUUCUAUCACUUAUCUUACUCGUAAUAUGACGUACUGCUCCCGGCCGUAAGAUGCACCCAGGACGCGUAUGCAUGUACUUUAUGUAUGGGCGCGCGAGCGGGUGGAUUUUCCGCGUAAAGAGAAAUGCAAGAAUGAACAGAGCGAGCCGCGCUCGCGCGCGAGAAUCACAAAAACGCACAACAGCAACAUGACAAACACGUUCUGCCUCAUGUUUCUAGCUCCACGAUGUAUAUAUGCUUGCAUCUUAUGUUUACGCACGAGUAGAUAAAAUAUUUUUGUUCACCUAUAUCGGCCAGAUUUCACAUUGUACGCUUUAUCAUAUCGCAGCGAUACCGAAAUAGAGUGACAGAUGCAUUGAAUGUUUGCGUGAGUUUCCUUGCCAAUAUCAUAUUACUGUGACGUUAUGUAAAUUAGAGUAACAACCGUAGCAUUAAGGGGAGAUUCUGAUUCAGAUAGUCGAAAAAAAUAAAAAGUUUUUACGAAUCUUUUUUUUUUUCAAAGAAACGAAUAACGAUAUCGAUAAUAAAGUUUCGACUAUAAUAUUUAUCAUUGUUAAUCUAUUUUAUCAUUUUAUAAAGCAUACUUAUACUAUUUUAUCAUUGUUUUAAGUAUAGAAAAUAUAAUUUAAAAAGUUGGAAUUCCAUCGAAAUUUUUUGUAUGUCGCUAGACGCUUCUAAUUGGUGGACAACGUUACAGCAUAUGCAAUACUUUGAAACAAAUGGGACAAAAAAUUUAAAAACUAUAUUAAAUUUAAGAAGAGUGAAUCUAAAUAUUUUGGAAAAUUUCGGAAAUUAAUAUUUUUAAAAUAAAAAAGAGGGGAAAAGAAAAAUGACUUAUAACUUCAAAGUGUCGCCAUUUUGUUAAAUUUCGAUCUUUUUUAUAUAACAAAGGUUCAUCUUUCAGAAAAUUUAAUACAGUUUUUAAAUUUUCUUAUCAGGUUAUUACACAAGCUGCAAUGCUGCUCGUUAGAGGCGUCUGGCGACAUUUCAUUUAGUACAAUUUAUUUUCAUUUAGUACAUUUCAUUUAGUAAAACCUGGAUAAAAUUUUUUAAAUAAAAUAAUCUUUUUAUAUUUAGAAUAAUGAUAAAUAGUGUGAUCAAAAUCCUAUAUUGUUAUUUUUACUCAUUUCUUUGAAAAAAAAUCAUACAAAAUCUAUUUUUUCGGUUAUCUAAACCAGACCCAUUCUUUAAGAGGAUGCUGGAUAUUGACAAUGCAUUUUUAUAUUUUGCACUAUUUUUCUAUUUGAUCGUAUAGCAAAUGCUUAUGCAGAGUGAAAAUAUAAAUGCUAAUAAAUGGACGAAGUACAUAAAUGGAGAAUGUAUAUAAAAGAUUAAAAAAAUUUUAUUUACAAGUUUUCUUUUUGUUUUUGAUGUAAUACUCCGUCAUUUGAAUUUAUACUUUCACAAUAAUGGGAAUAUAAUUGUGUGACUCAUAUUGAUAUUUUUUGAGAUUGCGAGAGCGUCUUCCUGUCAUUAAUCUGUUGACAAAGAAAAAAAUUGAUUCAACGUUAAUAAUUGGAUGUUGUGACCUUAAAUCAAAUGACCUUAAAUUUGAACUGAAACUAAGAUGCAUCGCAAUUACUAUUUAUUUGCGCUUUAUAAUUAGUACACAGAGAAAAUAUUGUAAAAAUUAUGUCAAGUUUAUAUUUCUUUUUAUAAUGCUUUUUGUAAAGAUAAACUGUAUUAAAAUUGUAAUAUUAA